UACAGAGGGUGCAAGCGUUAAUCGGAUUUACUGGGCGUAAAGCGUGCGUAGGCGGUUCAUUAAGUCGGUUGUGAAAUCCCUCGGCUUACCCGAGGACCUGCAUCCCAAACUGCUUGGCUUGAGUAUGGGAGAGGAUGAGGGAAUUCCUGGUGUAGCGGUGAAAUGCGUAGAUAUCAGGAGGAACACCGGUGGCGAAAGCGCUCAUCUGGCCCAAUACUGACGCUGAGGCGCGAAAGCUAGGGGAGCAAACGGG
rnacentral:rRNA from 1 species